GUAGGUGGCAAGCGUUGUCCGGAAUUAUUGGGCGUAAAGCGCGCGCAGGCGGUUCUUUAAGUCUGAUGUGAAAGCCCACGGCUCAACCGUGGAGGGUCAUUGGAAACUGGAGAACUUGAGUACAGAAGAGGAAAGCGGAAUUCCACGUGUAGCGGUGAAAUGCGUAGAGAUGUGGAGGAACACCAGUGGCGAAGGCGGCUUUCUGGUCUGUAACUGACGCUGAGGCGCGAAAGCGUGGGGAGCGAACAGGGAUUAGAUACCCUGGUAGUCCACGCCGUAAACGAUGAGUGCUAAGUGUUAGGGGGGUUUCCGCCCCCGUUAGUGCUGCAGCUAACGCAUUAAGCACUCCGCCUGGGGAUACGGCCGCAAGGCUG
rnacentral:rRNA from 1 species